rnacentral:rRNA from 1 species
GCGUGCCUAAUACAUGCAGUCGAACGAUAGUUAUGAGGGAGCUUGCUCCCGAUUAGCUUAGUGGCGGACGGGUGAGUAACACGUAGGCAACCUGCCCACAAGAUCGGGAUAACAUUCGGAAACGGAUGCUAAGACCGGAUACACAAUUCAGCCGCAUGGCCGGAUUGGGAAACACGGAGCAAUCUGUGGCUUGUGGAUGGGCCUGCGGCGCAUUAGCUAGUUGGUGGGGUAAAGGCUCACCAAGGCGACGAUGCGUAGCCGACCUGAGAGGGUGAACGGCCACACUGGGACUGAGACACGGCCCAGACUCCUACGGGAGGCAGCAGUAGGGAAUCUUCCACAAUGGGCGAAAGCCUGAUGGAGCAACGCCGCGUGAGUGGGGAAGGCUUUCGGGUCGUAAAGCUCUGUUGCCAGGGAAGAAUAAGGGCUAGUUAACUGCUAGUCCGAUGACGGUACCUGAGAAGAAAGCCCCGGCUAACUACGUGCCAGC